UACGGAGGGUGCAAGCGUUAUCCGGAUUCACUGGGUUUAAAGGGUGCGUAGGUGGGUCUGUAAGUCAGUGGUGAAAUCUUCGAGCUUAACUCGGAAACUGCCAUUGAUACUAUAGAUCUUGAAUUUUCUGGAGGUAAGCGGAAUAUGUCAUGUAGCGGUAAAAUGCUUAGAUAUGACAUAGAACACCCAUUGCGAAGGCAGCUCACUACGGGAAUAUUGACACUGAGGCACGAAAGCGUGGGGAUCAAACAGG
rnacentral:rRNA from 1 species